rnacentral:rRNA from 1 species
AAUCAACGCUGGCGGCGUGCCUAACACAUGCAAGUCGAACGCGAAAGGGGACUUCGGUUCCUGAGUAGAGUGGCGUCCGGGUGAGUAACACGUGGGUAAUCUGCCUUCGGGUGGGGAAUAACUCAGGGAAACUUGAGCUAAUACCGCAUAAUGCAGCGGCACCUAAUGGUGAUUAGUUGUUAAAGCGGGGGAUCGCAAGACCUCGCGCCUGAAGAGGAGCCUGCGGCAGAUAGCUAGUUGGUAAGGUAAUGGCUUACCAAGGCUUCGAUCUGUAGCUGGUCUGAGAGGACGGCCAGCCACACUGGCACUGACACACGGGCCAGACUCCUACGGGAGGCAGCAGUGGGAAUUUUGGGCAAUGGGCGAAAGCCUGACCCAGCAACGCCGCGUGAGGGAGGAAUCCUUCGGGAUGUAAACCUCACAAGCAAGGGAAGAGAG